UACGUAGGGGGCAAGCGUUGUCCGGAUUUAUUGGGCGUAAAGAGCGUGUAGGCGGCUUGGUAGGUCUCGCGUCAAAACCUGAGGCUCAACCUCAGUUCGCGUGGGAAACCACCUAGCUAGAGUCCGGAAGAGGAGAACGGAAUUCCCAGUGUAGCGGUGAAAUGCGCAGAUAUCAGGAGGAACACCGAUGGCGAAGGCAGGUCUCUGGGCCACUACUGACGCUGAGAAGCGAAAGCGUGGGGAGCGAACAGG
rnacentral:rRNA from 1 species